rnacentral:rRNA from 1 species
UGAGGAAUAUUGCACAAUGGGCGCAAGCCUGAUGCAGCGACGCCGCGUGUGGGAUGAAGGGGCUACGCCUCGUAAACCACUGUAGCCCGGGACGAAAAACGCCUUAGAGGCGUUAGACGGUACCGGGAAAGUAAGGGUCGGCUAACUACGUGCCAGCAGCCGCGGUAAUACGUAGGACCCAAGCGUUGUCCGGAUUUACUGGGUGUAAAGGGUGCGCAGGCGGAUGGGUAAGUCAGGGGUGAAAGUCUGCAGCUUAACUGUAGAAUUGCCUUUGNUACUGCUCAUCUUGAGUGUGGGAGAGGUUGAUGGAAUUCCAGGUGUAGCAGUGAAAUGCGUAGAUAUCAAGAGGAACACCUGAGGCGAAGGCGGGUUGCUGGGCCGACACUGACGCUGAUGCGCGAAAGCCAGGGGAGCAAACG